rnacentral:tRNA from 1 species
GGACCUUUAGCUCAGCGGUAGAGCAAGGUGCUCAUAACGCCUCGGUCACAGGUUCGAAUCCUGUAAGGUCCA